rnacentral:rRNA from 1 species
GUCUCCGUUGGUGACCGAGGGAUCAUU